UACGUAGGCAGCAAGCGUUGUUCGGAGUUACUGGGCGUAAAGGGUGUGUAGGCGGUUUUCUAAGUCUGGUGUGAAAUCUCCCGGCUCAACUGGGAGGGUGCGCCGAAAACUGGAAGGCUAGAGUGCGGGAUGGGAGAGUGGAAUUCCUGGUGUGAGCGGUGAAAUGCGUAGAUAUCAGGAGGAACACCUGUGGUGUAGACGGCUCUCUGGACCGCAACUGACGCUGAGACACGAAAGCGUGGGUAGCAAACAGG
rnacentral:rRNA from 1 species